rnacentral:lncRNA from 12 species
GAUCCCAGGAGGUUUCGGUGCUCUGUAGACAGCAGACAGAAAUAAAGGGAAGUUUCUCCUUUUUACCUCGUAUAAUCCCACUGGAAAGUGAAACGUGUGCUGAGAGUUGAUACUGACUUCUUCUAGGUCACCUCCCUGAAGAGGCCCCGGGCAGGCACUGUCGUAACAGUUCUUGGACAGGAGUCUGAUGGGCCCCAAAGGAGGUGGGAGGGUUUCUGCAACAGGCUACUGGUGGAACAGGGUGCUACUGUCUAGCCCCAGGAAGCUUCUAGUGAGGAGGGCCCCGAGGAACCUGCAUCCUUUUCCUUAACUCUUUCAGAGGGUACGGCAUACGCCCAGAUUGGAGUUAAAGGUAAACUCAGUUCUGUGUAGCUUGUGGUUGUUGCUUUUUGAAAAAUGAGCAGCUACAAGAAAGCAACACCACGUAUGGCUUAAUAGGCCUUAGCUUUUUGGAACUUGAAUUUGGAUGUAGAUAACGCAAAUGGUUUUGAAGCUAUAUAUCAUUAGGAACUCUUUGGAAACCACAAAACCUUUUUAAUGGGCCACUCUAUCAAUUUUCUGCUCUUCUAAGGAGUUUUUCCUAUUCAUGACUCCUUUUGAUCUUUGGCUAACACUGAGGCAAAUGUAGUGACGAUUUAGUUUUCUUCUUCCUCUGAUAGCUUGUACACGUUUUCUGCCUCGGGUGGUGUCCGCUUGGAUGCCUGGAGAAUGUUGACAAAGGAAAGGUUAGGCUAGCCUGUUGAUGCUACAUAUUUGGGCUUUAAAAAUCAAAAAGGUUCCUUGGCUUCCGCGGAGAAGCAUUCUGCUUGAUGGCCCAGAUUACUGAUCCAGUAAAAACGACAUGUUCCAGCCAUCCUUCACACACACCUUAAGUGAAAUUAAUGAGAUCACUCUAUGGUUACGCUUUGUGUUUUAUUUUCACUUUCUAGGUCUGUAUGAGCUGUUGGCUGUUGUGCCAGGCCGGCUGGGGCCACGUGUGGACAGCCAGGAAGACCUGACCUUCCUCUGGGAUAUGUUUGGUGAGAAAAGCCUGCAUUCACCGGUAAAGUUGCUGACUAGCAGACCUCUUUCAGAGGCUUGUUUACCACCAGCAUCACUUCAUCAUCAUUUUCAUCAGCCCUGUGAAGUCCUGUAUUUUUGCAGUCAUGUUAAUGGCAUCCAAGAUAAAAACCAAUGACAGCAUAGAGGGCAUGUAUUAGGUGGGAAGAAAUGUUUAAAUGAGGGCUGGUGUGAACAUUGUCAGUUUAUUGGUGAAGAUCAUAAUGUCUAUAUUCCUGUAACCUUGGAUUGUUUGGGAAUUAGAUCCUAAAUAUUCAGAAGAUAGGAACCUCUAUGUUUAUAUUAGUAUUUUCUUUAUUUUCCCAACAUUUGUUAGAGAGAGAGAGAGAGAGGGAGUGGAGAGGGGUAGAAGGAGGAGAGAGAAUCUCAAGCAGAUUCCACACUGAGUCCAGAGCCCAACCUGGGGCUCAAUCUCAUGACCCAGAGAUCAUGACCUGAGCCAAGAUCAAGAGUUGGAUGCUUAAUCAAGUCAGCCACCCAGACACCUCUGUAUUACUAUAUUCAAUGACUAGGCUUUUAUUAACUAAUUUGAAGUCUUUUACCUAUCUUAGUUAAUUGAAUAUAUGACUUGAGAUAAUUAUAGUUGUGUAGUAGAAAUUUUCCAAACACAAUGGUGAUAAGCAAAUACUGCGAAGGUUAAUAGCAAAGCUCUGACAAGCUUAGCCUGUGCAGCACUGGCACAGCCUUAUGAAAACAAUUAUGCAAAAAUAAUAAUCCUGUUGCAACUUCAAAUCCAGGUGCAUAAAAAUGUUAAUU